GGUUUACCUGUGUGACUGCGUACCUUUUGUAUAAUGGGUCAGCGACUUAUAUUCUGUAGCAAGGUUAACCGAAUAGGGGAGCCGUAGGGAAACCGAGUCUUAACCGGGCGUUAAGUUGCAGGGUAUAGACCCGAAACCCGGUGAUCUAGCCAUGGGCAGGUUGAAGGUUGGGUAACACUAACUGGAGGACCGAACCGACUAAUGUUGAAAAAUUAGCGGAUGACCUGUGGCUGGGGGUGAAAGGCCAAUCAAACCGGGAGAUAGCUGGUUCUCCCCGAAAGCUAUUUAGGUAGCGCCUCGUGAAUUCAUCUCCGGGGGUAGAGCACUGUUUCGGCUAGGGGGCCAUCCCGGCUUACCAACCCGAUGCAAACUGCGAAUACCGGAGAAUGUUAUCACGGGAGACACACGGCGGGUGCUAACGUCCGUCGUGAAGAGGGAAACAACCCAGACCGCCAGCUAAGGUCCCAAAGUCAUGGUUAAGUGGGAAACGAUGUGGGAAGGCCCAGACAGCCAGGAUGUUGGCUUAGAAGCAGCCAUCAUUUAAAGAAAGCGUAAUAGCUCACUGGUCGAGUCGGCCUGCGCGGAAGAUGUAACGGGGCUAAACCAUGCACCGAAGCUGCGGCAGCGACACUGUGUGUUGUUGGGUAGGGGAGCGUUCUGUAAGCCUGUGAAGGUGUGUCGUGAGGCAUGCUGGAGGUAUCAGAAGUGCGAAUGCUGACAUAAGUAACGAUAAAGCGGGUGAAAAGCCCGCUCGCCGGAAGACCAAGGGUUCCUGUCCAACGUUAAUCGGGGCAGGGUGAGUCGACCCCUAAGGCGAGGCCGAAAGGCGUAGUCGAUGGGAAACGGGUUAAUAUUCCCGUACUUGGUGUUACUGCGAAGGGGGGACGGAGAAGGCUAUGUUGGCCGGGCGACGGUU
rnacentral:rRNA from 1 species